ACGGGUGAGUAACACGUAUCCAACCUGCCGUCUACUCUUGGCCAGCCUUCUGAAGGAAGAUUAAUCCAGGAUGGCAUCAUGAGUUCACAUGUCCGCAUGAUUAAAGGUAUUUUCCGGUAGACGAUGGGGAUGCGUUCCAUUAGAUAGUAGGCGGGGUAACGGCACACCUAGUCAACGAUGGAUAGGGGUUCUGAGAGGAAGGUCCCCCACAUUGGAACUGAGACACGGUCCAA
rnacentral:rRNA from 1 species